GGGAGUUUGUUGCACCAGAAGCAGGUAGCUUAACCUUCGGGAGGGCGCUUGCCACGGUGUGGCCGAUGACUGGGGUGAAGUCGUAACAAGGUAGCCGUAGGGGAACCUGCGGCUGGAUCACCUCCUUU
rnacentral:rRNA from 1 species